rnacentral:lncRNA from 1 species
UUAAUAGUGGGGUGGGUAUAGUAGCAGUUAAAGGUACUGAAAGACAAUAAAUAGUGUCAUUAAUUAGAGUGGCCACAGAGGCUAUGUAUAUAAGCGUAGAUAAAAGGCUUGACACAGACAGGCAGUCUGUGUCUAUACACUUAAAUGAUUUUCUGACCUCAGAGUGGGAAAAUCUCUAGUGUGACUGUGAAUUUAGUUUUAGGGGUGUGGAUCUUAAGAGGAAAUCCUUUGUUCACAAUUCUCAGUUAAGUUCUGACCUUCCUUGCAUUGCAGGACCUGCUCUAGGCAGGAGCUGGGCAAGGAGGCAGGGAAAUUGGAAAUUUGUUGGAAAUGUACUAGAAAGAAAUAAAUGUGCUUUGCUCCUGCUUAGUUUCUGCUUAGUUUUUGUUGUUGCUGGCGUUUUUUUUUUUUUGUUUUGUUUUUGUUUUGGUUUUGGUUUUGGUUGUAAAAAUAUGAUUGCCAUUUUCCAAGCAGCUACGGUUAAUUCACACUGUUACCUGAUAAAAGCCUCUACUGUUAGCAAAGACCUGAGAGAUAUGUAGCAAAUAAGAGCUUCACAAAACGCAUAAUAUCAAUGUAUUACAUUUCUUGAGAGGACUGAAAAAUUAAAAUGCUAACAGAAGACAGCUUGCAAAGAUAGCUGGGAGCAGCAGACAGUUAAGUAAUAUGUUUUGUGUGGGUGGGGAGGUUAAGUUGUGGUUUUGUUUUCUUUUGUGAGAGAGAAAAUAUUGAUUCAGCUAGAGAAAAUGGAAAUGACUGAGAAAGCUACCUCAGAUGAGUGAAAAAAUCAAACAAAGACAUUCCCACAUGUGUCUUUCCUUAUCAUUUCUGCAAAAAUUAAAACUCAUAUUUUCAGCUCUUGUUACUGUGCUUCCUACAAUCAUAAAAGACUAACAAUGAAUAUUCAUUUCUUCUGGCACCAUAUGUCUUUAUUUUCAUGUCCCUGCCUAUUUGGAAAAGUACUUUGAAAACAAAGAUGUCUGUUAAAAUCCAUCUCUAGAUGGAGAUCUAUGGAAGUGUAAAUUAUACCUGCUAUCAGUGUCCUCCUUGAGGACUUUAUAAAGAGACUCUAUCUAUCCUGUGGGUUUUCAAGCUGACCUGGUAAUACUAUUGCAAUGUAUUUUUAAUGCUACAGAUCCCAAGAAGCUGGAAAAGAAACUCAUAAGUACAGGAAUCCCAGUAAGAAAAUGGGUGGUAUUAAUCCUCAGUCUGACAACGUCUUGGAUACUUACCUUGCAUUAUUUCAAUUCCUCCUUGUAAAUUGAGGAUAGUGUUGUUAUUUAGCCCAAGUCAGAAGUUGGUGCCAGGUGUCAGUGUCAUUUUCUGCUUACAAAGCUGGGUUCAAAAUGAAAAGGCGAUACGAUUGGUCUUAUAGAAGAGACCAUCAUCAUAAAACCUCCCCCUAAGAGACUUCCUGAUGCUCCUCUCUUACAGACUAGCUCUGCUAAUUUUGCCAGCCUGAUUCUGCCUUUCU